rnacentral:sRNA from 1 species
CUAUCAAACCUUUCCUU